rnacentral:rRNA from 1 species
UGUCGGCGACCGGCGCACGGGUGCGUAACGCGUAUGCAACCUACCCAUUACAGGGGGAUAACACUGAGAAAUCGGUACUAAUACCCCAUAACAUCCAGGGAGGCAUCUUCUUGGGUUGAAAACUCCGGUGGUAAUGGAUGGGCAUGCGUUGUAUUAGUUAGUUGGUGGGGUAACGGCUCACCAAGACAACGAUACAUAGGGGGACUGAGAGGUUAACCCCCCACAUUGGUGCUGAGACACGGACCAAACUCCUACGGGAGGCAGCAG